GCAAGUCGAACGAAGUAGCAAUACUUAGUGGCAGACGGGUGAGUAACAUGUAGGUAUCUACCCUUUGGUGAGGAAUAACACGAGGAAACUUGUGCUAAUACCUCAUAAGUCUUUACGGAGAAAGCUUUAUGCGCCGAAGGAUGAGCCUGCACUUGAUUAGUUUGUUGGUGGGGUAAUGGCCUACCAAGACUUUGAUCUAUAGCUGAUCUGAGAGGAUGAUCAGCCACAUUGGGACUGAGACACGGCCCAAACUCCUACGGGAGGCAGCAGUAGGGAAUAUUGCACAAUGGAGGAAACUCUGAUGCAGCGAUGCCGCGUGAGUGAAGAAGGCCUUUGGGUUGUAAAGCUCUUUCGUCGGGGAAGAAAAUGACUGUACCCGAAUAAGAAGGUCCGGCUAACUUCGUGCCAGCAGCCGCGGUAAUACGAAGGGACCUAGCGUAGUUCGGAAUUACUGGGCUUAAAGAGUUCGUAGGUGGUUAAAAAAGUUGGUGGUGAAAUCCCAGAGCUUAACUCUGGAACUGCCAUCAAAACUUUUUAGCUAGAGUAUGAUAGAGGAAAGCAGAAUUUCUAGUGUAGAGGUGAAAUUCGUAGAUAUUAGAAAGAAUACCAAUUGCGAAGGCAGCUUUCUGGAUCAUUACUGACGCUGAGGAACGAAAGCAUGGGUAGCGA
rnacentral:rRNA from 1 species